AGAAAGAGUGGAUGUACACUCCAGUGAACAUGGGAAAAUAUGUGAUGAAUAAGGAAUAUAGGUGGGGGGGGGGGAGUAAGCAGUUUCUCUAGUUACAGGGUAGACUUCAGUGACUGGAAGUUACGGCAUCAAAUUCCAGAGCCCGAAACCAACAUUUUAGUUACGCUGAAGAUGCAUACAUCUAAUAUCUCUACCCAUAGUGCAAGUGAACAUCAGUGUUUAAAGUGUAUGAGUGUAGAUUAUAGUUUUGUUGGACCCUUUUUUCCUUAUUCAUUUCAAUAAACUCAUCACUAAUGCCUGUGUUGCUUGAAAAUCUUCUUAUUGAUAAAUGUUGAGUGAUACAAAGUUUCAUAUUUUAAGUAUUAUAGUGACAUGGAUAUUUCUCUUAAUGUGGUCUUUUCUUCCUGUUAAUUGGUAACAAUAUUUGUUCUAACUAUAUAUCACAAUAACAUACUUCAUUGUUAGUCUUUGGAAUGUUGGAAUGGUACAUACUGUACUCCUAACUUGUAAUAGUGGAUUAGUUUAAUAGCUGGAACAUAUUUGCUGUCUUAAAUUAUUGAUUUGCUGAGUGGGUUGCACUGCUGUAUGCACAAUUUAGAAAGAAGAUGGUGGAUAGUUAUCUAACUGGGUUAUGCAUUACACAACUACUACUGCUGUAAAGUGUCUGCUUAUGUGGGAAUGCUAGGUUUGGCAGUUGUUCUUGAAUGCAGUACAGGGUAUCUGGUUUCUGAUACCUGUAGUGGUAAAAUUUAGUGCUUGACUUCAUUUAAAAUUACUGAUUAUAUUUUGUCUGUCAAAAGUUUACAUUCGAAUGCUAACAGUGGAAUGGUUUUUGUAGCUUUUGUAUUUCUGCUGAACAUUGAAUGUCCAACACACGCUAGGGUUCCAGUACAAAGUGUACAGUACAGUAUAGGAAUAUGCUAUGACUUGUGUAUUAACCAGUUGGUUAGCUUUGCCCCUCACCUCUGCCUGUCUCUGUGAUAUAUGAAUGUGUGUAUAUUUUGCAAUGCACAGUAUAAUCAUAUUCUGUUUGGGGAAUGGUGAAAUUCUAACUAGCUAUGAUAGUGUGCAUUUCCAUGUGAUCUUCACUCUCCCUUGUUCAAUUUGUACAAGUGUUGAUAAAUGAGUGGCUUGUAUGCUGUGCUUGUUAACUGUUCUUGUGUGAAUUUUGCCAAUAAUCUCUACUAGAAUAUUAUUUACUCGAACAUGUUUGCAGUAAAAUAUGCUUUAAACUUGACAAAAUGUAUUUGUUACUACAAUUCUUUAACAAACCAUGUGUUAUGAUACACAGUUCUGUUGCUUAUAUAUGUAUAGUGUGUAUGUGAUGUUUUUGUAUGAACUUUUACAUCCUGUAAUCUUGGCUGAAUUGAGUGAAAUAUUGAUAUACUGAUUAUGUAAAUGAGAUAUACUAUCCUUAGAUUAAGAUGCAUCUUGUAAACUUGGAGGAACUGGAACCUUGCAUUAAUGUGUUUGGAUUCAUUAUCUGGGCUCAUUAAUUCAAGUGUCGGUCACUCUCUUAUAAACCUAAUUGGAUUAUAAGGAGAGUGGGAAAGAGGGUGGGACCUUUCCUCCAAGUAAAAUUUUUUUUUUGUUAUAUUCAAAUAAUGUAGAAUGCCAUGAGUGUGUAAUGCUGAUUUUGAAGAUGGAUCCAAAGCCAAAGAACAACCCUAAGAAGGAACAUGAGACCAGAAGUUUAGUCAGCAUUUUCGAGAAUGGUUCCUGGGAGCUAAAUUUAUGCAGUACCAGAAGUCAACUAGGAAAUAGGGCACUUGAUUCAUCUGGGGCUGUGAUAGGACUUGGUGGAAAUAUCAGAUACUGCAGUGCUUUGAAGAUUGGAUAUCUCUUCAUCUUCAUCUCUCGUGGAAGGAGUUCGGGUGUUGCCUACGAUUGUAUUUUAACUUAAGGUUUGGUUGCUGCUCAGUGGAGACCCUGCUGAGUAUCCUGGAGUCUUUAAAAACAGUCGUUGUAGUCAUGAAGGCGUAGUUGCAGGCUGCCCUGUUAAGUCGUGUUGAUGGAUACUGUAAUGGGAGAUGAGUGCAGUUGAAGGUAGCAGUGGGACCUAUGUGCAGCAUCAAAGACAGCACUGUCCUGAGUAUGAUUGAAGGCGACACUGGGGCAUGUGGUCGUGACGGAUGGCAGUGCUGGGAUGUGCGGUUGUGACUGAUGGCAGCGCUAGGACGUGGUAAUGACCGAUGGCACCGCCGGGACGUGGUUAUGACCGAUGGCACCGCUGGGACGUGGUUAUGACCGAGGGCACCGCUGGGACGUGGUUAUGACCGAGGGCACCGCUGGGACGUGGUUAUGACCGAUGGCACCGCUGGGACGUGGUUAUGACCGAUGGCAUCGUUGGGACGUGCGGUUGUGACUAAUGGUAGCACUGGGACGUGAAGUUGUGACUGGUGGUGGACGUGCGAGAAUAGUCGGAUGUAGCGCUAAGACUGGUUAGUGCUGAGCAGCAGGACUGGGACGUAAAUGGGUCGGCGACCGGGCUGGGAAGUGGGACGUAGAAGUGGGUCAGACGUAGAAGUGGGUCGGAUGCCGUGCUGGGACAUCAAAGUGUGAGCCUGGAUGACGGUUGGAACACAGGGACAGAGGGGGUGCAUUUUACUUGUUUACUGGGGUAUGGUGCUCUGGCUUUUUAAAUUUCUCUAUAGUUAGGAGGUACUGUAUAAUAUAAAAAUAUUCACCACUAAGGAUUUUUGUAAAGACAGUGUGCUGUAGGCAAUGUAUAUCAAUAAAACUUGUGCUCUUUAAAACAAUUAGCUACUAUAAUUUUAAUGUUUUGUAGAAGUGAAACUACUCUUUGCUGUCUAGUCUGCACAAUUUAUAACUUAUUGUCAAACGUAAGAAUGAAGUGAAGUAACGCCUGCCCUGAUUAGUUGGAUAGAUCAGUAGCUGUAAGUUAAAUUAGGCCUAAACCACAUGCCAGAGUGACAUAUCCCUAUUAGAUACAACAUUAUGAAGUACCCCUUCUUCCUGAGGUCCAAGGUUGGGACCGUGCGGAGAUCUAGUGGGCUGUUGGAGGCCGCGUGUGGAAGCUACUAAGGGGCAUCAAUGACUACUGAGAAACCAGUGGAGGAGUUAGAAAGCCGCGUCGGGGAGUUUUGGUGACCAGACAAAGAGGCCAUAUAACUGCGGAGUAAGUCGAAGCCACUAAGGAGCUGAAGUGGUUGUCUGAAAUCAUGCUGGGAGCAACAGUUGCAGCGAAAGAGACCACUGAAGAACUGUGGUAGCUGUCAGCAGCCUGCAGUGGUGGCCAGAUGAUGUGCUGAAGUUCGGGUGUUGCUGCUCUUCAAGUUAAAGGGAGUUUGUUGUAUGCAUGGAUAUUGGUAUGUCGUCAAGUUUGUCAUCCAGCACUUGGUUUGCAAAGGAGUGUUGAGACUGAAUCAUCACUUCAGGUUGAAAUAGGAUCCUCAGGAUGUGCAGUUUUGCUGCAGGGACUUAGAUUAUGCUGGUGUGUUCACAAAUUUAGAGGAAAUACUGUACUGUGGGAUUUUUCACCCAAUUUUGUCAGUGGAAUUGUCAGCUUGCUACAUACAGAUCAAGUUGUCAAACAAGACUUGUACUAUGAACAUCAGCAAAACGAUGCCAUUGAAAGAUACAUUUGAAUGUGUGGCGAGACAUUUUGGCUGUGGACGGCAGGUCAGCAUUUGUUCGUAGGAGUUAUAAAAAAGUAUUUGUAGACUUGCCAUUCUGUUCUGGGAAAAAAUUAAUGCAUGUUAUACAAGUAUUGGAAUUGGGAACAGGAAGAUUUUUUGUGAAAAAUAUCAAGAAAGAACAAGAUGCUCCUGGACAGGUCAGGCUCUAGAACUUCUUAUGCAUGUGAUGAAUUACUGUACUAUCUAUCAUUCUGGUGUCCGGGAGCAGUAGUUUUGUAUCUUUGUACUUGAGUACUGUAGUUCCUUCAGUCUUUGACCUUGACUACUGCACAACUCAUGACCAUACACAGAACAUUGACAGAAAAAAAACACAAAGUAGAUAAAUUUGAGAAAAAAGAAGAAUGUAAAAAAAAAAUAGCCAUACUGUAUAUCAAAAUGUAAAACUGAAAACCACUGCCUUGGAUACAAUCUUUUGAAUGCAAUAGAUACCAUUUUACAUGGUAUUUAUAAGUUAGAAAAUACCACUUCUUAUGGAUUUGCCGCUAAUUGCAGUGCUCAUUGCUAAUAUUUUCUGGGUAAAAAACUUGAAUUGGACCAACCAUUGUGCAGAUACAUAUUUUGGAUCUUAAGAGGACUAAAAUUUUAUAUGGAUACACUGUACCAUGCUGCAGAUGAAUAUCUUCGGUCUUACGAGGGAAAAGAUCUUCCUGUUGAGGAUAAGUAUCUUGAUUGUUAGUGAAACAAAGGAUAUACUAUAUUGCUUCUUGCAAUGUCAUUUAAAAGUGAUUUUACAUGCUAAUUACAGACAUCUUCAUUGUUUAAAGAAAGAAUGGAUUGAUAUGCUACUUUUAAGAUUUUGAUAGUGAAGAAGGAAUGGAUACACCUACAAACUGCUUCCAGAUCAGUGAUGGAUAUAUUAACUGCUUAAAAUCUCGUGAUCAGUGAAAGUGAGUACAGUACUGUUCACUUGCAGUGUAUGAAAUGCUUAAUUUUUUAAGACUAACAUGUUCCAAGUAGAGAAAGUACCAAAUCUAACUUAAUUGAAAAUUUAGAUUUGUGAAGACUGUAAGUAACAGUGGAAAUGAAUGAGAAUAAUUUAUAGAUUUACAUGAUAGAAGAUCCCAUAUGAAAUGGCAGUCUUGCCUUGGUACAGUAUCGUGUUUAACCCACCCAGUGCAAAUGACCAGCAAACAAAAACCUUUAAAACCAAUCUGUGUAACUGACCAACAAAACUUUUGCAUACUAUAAAUGGUUAAUUCAAGAAGACUUAAGUUAAAAGAGAAGUAAAGUUAAAUGUGCAAGGAUUAUCUCCAUGGAAUUUCAAAUUGCAGUACCUGUACUGUAUAGAGGAAAGUUAUUUUAUAUUGAAACCUGUAGACCCUAAGGUUAACGAAGAUUAAGUGAAAGGAUAAACACAGUUCUAGGAAAUAUUAAAGAACAUUCUAACUGACUACAGGAACAAUGACUGACAAUAUUCUAAAGUGAACUUGUGGACCAGUAAGUAAAAAGUCACACUUGGUGAGUAAAUUGGCUUUAUUACUAAUGAAUUGCAUACUCUUGAAUAUCUAUACAUAGUUGGUAUUCUUGUAAGUAAAUUAAUAUUUGAAAGAAGAAUAUCUUUAUUACUGAAGUCUGACAAUGACGAAAAGUCAGGAAAAUAAGCAUGGAAACUAGACUGAUUCAUGGUAAAUGAUAAAACAACAGUACCAAUAUAUUGAAUGUUUAAGGCUCCAUACUGAAGUAAAUGAGCAGGUCCUAAGUAGUUGAAUACUACAGCAUUGUGGAAGUAAACAUAAUGAAUAUGAUGCUAAAGUUACAGUUUUUCUGAAGUAACCACCGUUUGAGAAGUAACCAUACUUAAAUAUGAUGUGAAAGUUACACCGUUUGACAAGUAACUAUGGCAGUUUCAACGGAAUUGUCUUAAGUGAAUAUUCAAGCCAAUUAAAAUUAGCUCCCUUGAAUAUGGAACAAAACCUACACCAGUCGAGAAGGAAGAUGAAAGGUACACCAUGGAAAGAAUAUAUCUGCAUAAGCACCAAAAUAAAUGGCGAAUUGAGAAAUUUUUGAAGGUCGUCUUGCGGGACAGAUCAACAACUUGAAGAAUAAUACAUUAUAACUAAAGGCAAGGUUAUUUUUGUUAUUGUAAAUAGAACUUAUGUAUUGCUAGCCAAUUAAGGAUAAUUUGUAAAGUAUGGUAAGAUGUUUGAGAAUAACAUGAAUUUGUCAUCAAAUAUUAGAGAAUAGGUAUUGUACAUGAAUUUGUCAUCAAAUAUUAGAGAAUAGUCAUUGUAAAUUUAUUCACUGCAUGAAGUGGAUGGGUAUGGUAAACGCCACAGGUGCAGGAAGAUGAUGGGCAUGGUCGCCUACACAGGUGCAGGAAGAGGAUGGGCAUGGCUGACGACACCAGUGCAGGAAGAGGAUGGGCAUGGUCGCCUACACUGGUGCAGGAAGAGGAUGGGCAUGGUCGUCUACACAGGUGCAGGAAGAGGCUGGGCAUGGUCGACGACACAGGUGCAGGAAGAGGAUGGGCAUGGUCGUCUACACAGGUGCAGGAAGAGGAUGUGGGCAUGGUCGUCUACACUGGUGCAGGAAGAGGUUGGGCAUGGUCAUCUACACAGGUGCAGGAAAGAGGAUGGGCAUGGUCGGUGGCCUACACAGGUGCAGGAAGAGGAUGGGCAUGGCUGACACCAGUGCAGGAAGAGGAUGGGCAUGGUCGUCUACACAGGUGCAGGAAGGGGCUGGGCAUGGUCGACGACACAGGUGCAGGAAGAGGAUGGGCAUGGUUGUCUACACAGGUGCAGGAAGAGGAUGGGCAUGGUCGUCUACACAGGUGCAGGAAGAGGCUGGGCAUGGUCGACGACACAGGUGCAGGAAGAGGAUGGGCAUGGUCGUCUACACAGGUGCAGGAAGAGGAUGGGCAUGGUCGUCUACACAGGUGCAGGAAGAGGAUGGGCAUGGUUGUCUACACAGGUGCAGGAAGAGGAUGGGCAUGGUCGUCUACACAGGUGCAGGAAGAGGAUGGGCAUGGUCGUCUACACAGGUGAAGGAAGAGGAUGGGCAUGGUGGUCUUCACAGGUGCUGACGAGGGAAGGAUGUACAAGAGGAUGGGCAUGGUCGCCGUUGGGACGUUGUUGAUGAGGUGCAAGAGGACGGGCAGGUCGUCGUCGUCGAUGGAAGCACAAGAGGGUGGGCACGGUCGUGAUGGAGGUACAAGAGGACGGUCAUUGUCGUUGAUGGGGGAAAGGAGAAUGGUCAACUUCAAGAAUUCAAGACCCCAGAGGAAGUAUAAGGCUGGAUGCAGAUGUCUUUGGUGAGAGGACAUAUGUGGUUGUCUUAGAUAGUGGAUGUAAAGUCAUCAGGCAGGAACUACUAGGAUGGGCCUCCACUUUAAUAGGUGUAAAAAAAGGUGAGGGUAGUGUGGUUGGUUGAUUUAGGCACUUUCAUUUAACAUCAGGAUUUCAAGAGAUUGGCCUUGGUUUGAAGAGGAAAAUUGGUUCAGGUUUAUCAAGAAGAUAUUGAAGACCCUGUACAAAGCUGUAAGGAGAUGAAGAAGGAUCCCAUUAUGAUAGCCAGGUGGAUUACAGUAUAAUUUCACAGGGAAGUGAAAAAGAUAGAUUUUAUCACUGGCCACUGAUUAUUAAGGUGGAGAGAGUAGAUUUUGCUAGGGAGAAGAAUAUGUGCUAGGCAUUAAUUAUCAGGAGGCAAGGGAGAGUAAUAGCAAUAACACUCAGGAGGUAAGCAAGAGUGGAGGAAUUUGUCCACAGGAUUGGGGAAAGGAGGAAAAGGGUUAAAUGUUCAUCUCGGUAAGGAAUGAAUUGAAGAUAAAUAUGCACUCUUCAAGAGCAGGGGCUUCAUCGCCCUGUCAUCACAAAACAGAAGAGGAUGGUUAUUCACAGUAGCCUUCAGUCAUCACAAAUCUCAAGUUAUAAAUGAAGAGGAUGGACUUGAGCAUAUUCAGCCUUGAAGUACAACAGUAAAGGAAGGCCUUAGUCAUUGAGAGAUAUAAGAAGAUGGACUUUGACAGAAGUAUGUCUUCAGUGCCAGGAGGAUAGAGAGGUGUUGGUUAUCCCCACGUUAUGAGAAGAGGAUUGUCAAGUACUGCACUGCUUGCAAAUAAUGAGAUUCACCCACCAACUUGACGGUCGUGGACGGUCCUUCAGGAGUGUCCUAGACAAUCAAAUCUCUCUUAUUCCAGAGAGACAACUGGUGCUACAGUACAAGACCACUCAAGGUAAGGUGUUUGUAUCAUUUCAGUUUUAUGUGGUAAGUAUAAAAUUGUAUUUUCUGAGGAUCUACUUUUUUUUUUACUCCUUGGUAAUCAUAAUGUUUGUUUUGUGUGAAUGUGUUUCAUAAUUUCACUACAGAGUUAUCUUAAUGAUUCAGGCAUUGGUAAGUGUCGCUCAGAGUUCACUAAGCAAAAUUCUUCCAUUCAUAUUCACCAAUACUAGAUAUCCCUAUCAAUUAUAGUACGUACAUGUAUUCAGUUUUUAGAUGUCAACCCUAUCAAUUAUUCAGUUUUUAGAUGUCAUGAAUAGAUUCUAAAAGGCAAUAUUCUUUCACCCAAAUUCACCAAUUCCAGGUUCCCCCUUUUUGGCUUGAUUGUUGAGACUGGGUGGAGCGAGCCUGGGACAGUUGUGACAUGGCCGAGCAAGGCAGGGACUGAGACAGGAAAGCCAUGGGGCAGGGCCAGAUGAAGAAACAGUCAUUCGUAGGCAAUACAGAGCAGACAACUCUGGGGGCCGUGUGUGGAUUGGACCCACUGUAGAUGCGCACUUUGUGGAGGAGAGAAGAUAAACAGUGGGAAAAGAAGCUACUACCCUAACCAGAUCAGAUGGACGUUACAAAGCCUCAAUCUUUUCGAACUAGGGCACUAGGACGAAUUUUAGGUUACGUAAAUAUUCUAUCUAUUUAGAGCGUAUUCAUGAGAAGUAAUUUUCCAUAAAGUAUUUUUAUGUUCUGGUAUACUGAGUAGUGAAAUUGCGAAGUUCAUAUAUUGAAAUGAUUUUUCAUGAUCUCAAACUGAAGUGGUUAUUACUGAAGAUAGUUCGUCAAAAAUUAAUCGCGUCCCGUUGACGUCCACAUCAACUCCACCUUGUCCCUCGGCUCAGCUGCAACAGGAAGUCGUCAGAGGAAUCUGAUGACCGCCUUCUUAAAAUCCACGCUCUGGUAAUAUCCAGGUCAGGUUACAGUAUUCGAAGCUGUAGUGAUUCUUCAGGUCUUCUCUUAGGACAGGAUGUUUGGUACACCACAACUUUGAAAAUGUUCCACGGCAUCACCUCGGCCAGUUGCACUUUCAGAGGAUCGUCUUCAUAUGUCUUGCAUCUGAGUUUGUUCUACCCAUUCUCCCAUGAAAAGGUCGUGGCUCAUCACAUCUAUCACUUCUGCACAUCAGUAAUCACUACUAUAUCAACACAGUUACUGUGUAUUUCAUCAUCAACCUUUGCUACAGUGGCUUCACAACUUUAACAAAGCUGCUGUGUGUAUAUCACAUCUACAACUUCAUUAUAACGGCUGUGUGUGUAUGUGCUAUCUGCUGUGUACGUCAUCACAUCCGCUGUGUACGUCAUCACAUCCCCAUCUAUAUAGCUGCUGUGUUUCUUCACUACUACAACUACAUUGUUGCUGGUUGCAUGUCAACACAAAAUGUCACCACUGAUGAAUGUCUUCACUUCUAGCUCUGACAUUACUGAUGAAUUUUAUGAAUGUUUGAUUAAGGUUAAUUUGUUUUACCAGUCGGUGCUGUUUCAGAUGGCUGAAACAAUUUAUGAAUAAAAUUAUAUCAUAA